UGCCAAAAUUUUAACCUAAGGCGAACUUAAUCUCACAUUUAAUAAAUUAUACAUAAAUAAGUGUUUUGAGAAGUAGUAUUUUAAUCUAUGUUCUGUGAAUGACAAGUGUUAUCUGUCAAGUGUCAAAAAACUUGAAAAACUUUUACGAAGUUUUUGAAUUAAUGUUAAAUUUGUUUAUAAACACAAUGCCAAAGGCAAGAAUAAUUGCCCACGCCAGAUGGAGACCCAGCUAAAUAAUGUAGUAACAGCGCGUGGUCGUGUGAUGAGGGUUCCUUGACUUGAGUUCUGGCGCAACACGUCCUGGGCACUAAACAAGAUUGGAGAUGGGACGUCUAAAGAGGUGCAAGCCUAGAAAACGCUCUCGUCUUGCUCUACAGCACUUGCACUUGUCCCACUAUCUACCAGUGUUGGAACUCUUCCAAUAAUUUCCCACACCCAGGUGGAGAAUACUCCAGUUACUGCUACUGCUACUCUAAAAUAUCUCUCAUCUUGUUCUACAGCGCCUGCACCUGUCCUACCAUCUACCAGUGUUGGAACUCUUCGAAGUGUAUUAAUGAUUAUUAUUUUAGUAACCAUAAAAGUUUAAAACAAUACAUUUUAUUGCAUAAUUAUUUGUUAGAAAAAACGACAAGUACAAAUGAGUAGGGAGGCUGUUGAUUUUUUAUGGUUAUUUUAUAUCUUGUUGAUUGUUCAAAAAAAAAACUAAGUUUUCAAGAAUGCUGUGAUUAAAGUACCUAUAGUAUUAUAUUUAAAAUGAAAACUUAGUUUGUAAAGAGACGAAGGCUGACCACAAAAGAAGUACUUAUAGCUGUCUGUGUCUGUGUAAAGAAUUUAAAUAAAAAGAUGUGUAUAUUUAAA